CUUUCAGAGAAAUGAAGCAAUCUCCAUUUUCAAGCCAAUUAGACUUUGCUGUUUCCGUCACCACUGGAAGGCAGUUUCAGGAGUUUUCUGGAGAGUGAAGGUAGAAGGGGUAUAUCAUCUCCAUCCUUAAAGAUGGCCGGAUAUGGUUCUGAGCAGCCUCCUCCAGGUGGCCCGGCUGUAGGACGCUCUUGGACCAGGUUUUGUGCCUGCAUCUUGUCUGGCCGAGAAAUGCAUCGUCAGUGUUUGUUAGAUGGAGCCUAGUGCAAGCCAAAGGAUGUCAUGCAGGAAAGCUGAAGUAGUGCACAGGGGACAGCUGGUUCAGCUUUUUAAAGCUAUUUUAUUCUCCUUAUGAUGCUUGCAUUAUGGUGUAUGGCUG
ensembl:lncRNA